AGGUUUAGAGAUAUGGGGGUAGAGCACUGACUGGUCUAGGGGCUUUCACCGGCUACCGAAACCUAUCAAACUGCGAAUACCAUAUUCUUAUACUCAGGAGUCAGACUAUGUAUGAUAAGAUUCAUAGUCGAGAGGGAAAGAGCCCAGACCAUCAGCUAAGGUCCCAAAAUAUAGAUUAAGUGGGAAAGGAUGUGGGAUUGCACAGACAACUAGGAUGUUGGCUUAGAAGCAGCCAUUCAUUCAAAGAGUGCGUAAUAGCUCACUAGUCGAGUGAUCCUGCGCCGAAAAUUACCGGGGCUAAAAUCUAUUACCGAAGCUAUGGCUUGAUACUAUGUAUCAGGGGUAGGGGAGCAUUCUAUAAGGGCAGAAGCUAUACCGUAAGGAGUGGUGGACUUUAUAGAAGAGAGAAUGUUGGCAUGAGUAGCGAGAGGCAGGUGAGAAUCCUGCCCGCCGAAAACCUAAGGUUUCCUGAGGAAGGAUCGUCCACUCAGGGUAAGUCAGGACCUAAGCCGAGGACGAAAGUCGUAGGCGAUGGACAACAGGUAAAGAUUCCUGUACCACCGAAAUUCGUUUGAGAGAUGUGAUGACACAGAAGGAGAGGCUAAGCGUGCGAUUGGAAGAGCACGUCCAAGCGUCAAGUGAGUUAGAAUAGGUAAAUCCGUUUUAACAAUCAUGAGGCGUGAUGGGGAGCGACAUACUGCGAAGUAGCUGGUUUCAUGCUGUCAAGAAAAGUCGCUAUCGAGAAUGUAGGUGCCUGUACCGUAAACCGACACAGGUAGGUGAGUAGAGAAUACUAAGGCGAGCGAGAAAACUAUUGUUAAGGAACUCGGCAAAAUGACCCCGUAACUUCGGGAGAAGGGGUGCCGGAUCAGGUUUAGAGCUAGAUCCGGCCGCAGAGAAUAGGCCCAAGCGACUGUUUACCAAAAACACAGGUCUCUGCUAAAUCGAAAGAUGAUGUAUAGGGGCUGACGCCUGCCCGGUGCUGGAAGGUUAAGGGGAAAAGUUAGAGUAAUCGAAGCUUAGAACCGAAGCCCCAGUAAACGGCGGCCGUAACUAUAACGGUCCUAAGGUAGCGAAAUUCCUUGUCGGGUAAGUUCCGACCCGCACGAAAGGCGUAACGAUUUGGGCACUGUCUCAACAAUAGACUCGGUGAAAUUGUAGUACCGGUAAAGAUGCCGGUUACCCGCAGCAGGACGGAAAGACCCCGUGGAGCUUUACUGCAGCUUGGCACUGGACAUUGGUAUAUCAUGUACAGGAUAGGUGGGAGACUGCGAAUUAUGCACGCCAGUGUGUAAGGAGUCGUUGUUGGGAUACCACUCUUGGUAUAUCGUUGUUCUAACCUGGUACCGUGAUCCGGUACA
rnacentral:rRNA from 1 species